rnacentral:rRNA from 1 species
UACGUAGGGGGCAAGCGUUGUCCGGAAUCAUUGGGCGUAAAGAGCGUGUAGGCGGCCUGAUAAGUCGGCUGUGAAAGUCAAGGGCUCAACCCUUGAAUGCCGGCCGAUACUGUCAGGCUAGAGUCCGGAAGAGGCGAGUGGAAUUCCUGGUGUAGCGGUGAAAUGCGCAGAUAUCAGGAGGAACACCUAUGGCGAAGACAGCUCGCUGGGACGGUACUGACGCUGAGACGCGAAAGCGUGGGGAGCGAACAGG